rnacentral:rRNA from 1 species
GUACACUCCUGCGGGAGGCAGCAGUGGGGAAUUUUGGACAAUGGGCGAAAGCCUGAUCCAGCAAUGCCGCGUGAGUGAAGAAGGCCUUCGGGUUGUAAAGCUCUUUUGUCAGGGAAGAAACGGUGAAAGCUAAUAUCUUUUGCUAAUGACGGUACCUGAAGAAUAAGCACCGGCUAACUACGUGCCAGCAGCCGCGGUAAUACGUAGGGUGCAAGCGUUAAUCGGAAUUACUGGGCGUAAAGCGUGCGCAGGCGGUUUUGUAAGUCUGAUGUGAAAUCCCCGGGCUCAACCUGGGAAUUGCAUUGGGGACUGCAAGGCUAGAAUCUGGCAGAGGGGGGUAGAAUUCCACGUGUAGCAGUGAAAUGCGUAGAUAUGUGGAGGAACACCGAUGGCGAAGGCAGCCCCCUGGGUCAAGAUUGACGCUCAUGCACGAAAGCGUGGGGAGCAAACAGGAUUAGAUACCCUGGUAGUCCCAUGA